GCGUGGAGGAAGACGGCCUUCGGGUUGUAAACUCCUUUCAGUCGGGACGAAGCCUUUGCGGUGAAUAGCCGUAUGAGGUGACGGUACCUUCAGAAGAAGCCCCGGCUAACUACGUGCCAGCAGCCGCGGUAAUACGUAGGGGGCAAGCGUUGUCCGGAAUCAUUGGGCGUAAAGCGCGUGUAGGCGGCCUUGUAAGUCCGUUCUGAAAGUCCGAGGCUCAACCUCGGGAGGCGGAUGGAUACUGCAAGGCUCGAGUCCGGAAGAGGCGAGUGGAAUUCCCGGUGCAGCGGUGAAAUGCGCAGAUAUCGGGAGGAACACCAAUGGCGAAGGCAGCUCGCUGGGACGGUACUGACGCUGAGACGCGAAAGCGUGGGGAACAAACAGGAUUAGAUACCCUGGUAGUCCACGCCGUAAACGAUGGACACUAGGUGUGGGAGGUGUCGACUCCUUCCGUGCCGAAGCUAACGCAUUAAGUGUCCCGCCUGGGGAGUACGGCCGCAAGGCUA
rnacentral:rRNA from 1 species